rnacentral:rRNA from 1 species
AUUGAACGCUGGCGGCAUGCCUUACACAUGCAAGUCGAACGGUAACAGGUCUUCGGAUGCUGACGAGUGGCGAACGGGUGAGUAAUACAUCGGAACGUGCCCGAUCGUGGGGGAUAACGGAGCGAAAGCUUUGCUAAUACCGCAUACGAUCUACGGAUGAAAGCAGGGGACCGCAAGGCCUUGCGCGGACGGAGCGGCCGAUGGCAGAUUAGGUAGUUGGUGGGAUAAAAGCUUACCAAGCCGACGAUCUGUAGCUGGUCUGAGAGGACGACCAGCCACACUGGGACUGAGACACGGCCCAGACUCCUACGGGAGGCAGCAGUGGGGAAUUUUGGACAAUGGGCGAAAGCCUGAUCCAGCCAUGCCGCGUGCAGGAUGAAGGCCUUCGGGUUGUAAACUGCUUUUGUACGGAACGAAAAGACUCCUUCUAAUAAAGGGGGUCCAUGACGGUACCGUAAGAAUAAGCACCGGCUAACUACGUG